rnacentral:rRNA from 1 species
UACGUAGGGUGCGAGCGUUAAUCGGAAUUACUGGGCGUAAAGCGUGCGCAGGCGGUUCGUUGUGUCGGCGGUGAAAGCCCCGGGCUUAACCUGGGAAUGGCCGUCGAAACUGGCGAACUGGAGUGUGGCAGAGGGGGGUGGAAUUCCACGUGUAGCGGUGAAAUGCGUAGAGAUGUGGAGGAACACCAAUGGCGAAGGCAGCCUUCUGGGCCAACACUGACGCUCAUGCACGAAAGCGUGGGGAGCAAACAGG